rnacentral:SRP_RNA from 1 species
CUGUGCUAGGUGGGGAGUUAGCGAUGCCCUGUACUUGCAAUUCGCUCAGCAAGGCUGAAGGUCCGCCUAGGCAAAGUCGGUGUUGUGCUGCAUUAUAUAAGGGACGUUGAUACAAAGGUCUUAUGCAACGGUGCCCCGUGAACCGUGUCAGGAUAGGGAUAUAGCAGCACUAAGCGGUUUGUACCGUGUGCCAUAAGGGUGCUUUUGAGUAGUUACCUGUAUAAUUUCCGACAAGGUCGGUUUUGUCGAAGCGGAAUGCACAG